rnacentral:rRNA from 1 species
GAUGAACGCUAGCGACAGGCCUAACACAUGCAAGUCGAGCGGCAGCACCUCGGGUGGCGAGCGGCGCACGGGUGAGUAACGCGUAUGUAACCUGCCCAUGAGUGGGGGAUAGCCCGGUGAAAACCGGAUUAAUACCCCAUGAUACCAUUGUCUGACAUCAUUUAAUGGUUAAAGAUUCAUUGCUCAUGGAUGGACAUGCGUUGGAUUAGCUGGUUGGCGGGGCAACGGCCCACCAAGGCGACGAUCCAUAGGGGUUCUGAGAGGAAGGUCCCCCACAUUGGUACUGAGACACGGACCAAACUCCUACGGGAGGGCAGCAGUGAGGAAUAUUGGUCAAUGGGCGGAAGCCUGAACCAGCCAAGUCGCGUGAAGGAUGAAGGUAUUAUGUAUGUACACUUCUUCAGCUGUGGAGACAUAAGGUGGUCGAGACCACCGAUGCUAGUACACAGAGAAUAAGGAUCGGCUAACUCCGUGCCAGCAGCCGCGGUAAUACGGAGGAUCCGAGCGUUAUCCGGAUUCAUUGGGUUUAAAGGGUGCGCAGGCGGUGCCUUAAGUCAGCGGUAAAAUCGUGGGGCUCAACCCCAUCCCGCCGUUGAUACUGGGGCACUUGAUUACGGUCGAGGCAGGCGGAAUUCGUCGUGUAGCGGUGAAAUGCAUAGAUAUGACGAAGAACACCGAUUGCGUAGGCAGCCUACCAGGCCGUUAAUGACGCUCAUGCACGAAAGUGCGGGGAUCGAACA